rnacentral:rRNA from 1 species
GAUGAACGCUGGCGGCGUGCCUAAUACAUGCAAGUCGAGCGAACAGACGAGGAGCUUGCUCCUCUGACGUUAGCGGCGGACGGGUGAGUAACACGUGGAUAACCUACCUAUAAGACUGGGAUAACUUCGGGAAACCGGAGCUAAUACCGGAUAAUUUAUUGAACCGCAUGGUUCAAUAGUGAAAGACGGUUUUGCUGUCACUUAUAGAUGGAUCCGCGCCGCAUUAGCUAGUUGGUAAGGUAACGGCUUACCAAGGCAACGAUGCGUAGCCGACCUGAGAGGGUGAUCGGCCACACUGGAACUGGGACACGGUCCAGACUCCUACGGGAGGCAGCAGUAGGGAAUCUUCCGCAAUGGGCGAAAGCCUGACGGAGCAACGCCGCGUGAGUGAUGAAGGUCUUCGGAUCGUAAAACUCUGCUAUUAGGGAAGAACAAAUGUGUAAGUAACUAUGCACGUCUUGACGGUACCUAAUCAGAAAGCCACGGCUAACUACGUG